GUAUCCGUAGCUCAGAUGGAUAGAGCGUUGCCCUCCGAAGGCAAAGGUCGUAGGUUCGAAUCCUAUCGGGUACGCCA
rnacentral:tRNA from 1 species